CCUGCAUCGGAUUUGGUGCCCAGGGUUGCUCCGGUUCUUGCCCGUCACGGGGAUGGGGUGGACAGCACCGGGCUCGCACAUGGAGCGGGUUAGCCCGGCUCUGCAGGUCUGCAGCUCUGUUGUACCAGGGUUCAACCCCUUCCCAAGCCCCAGGGACGGAGCCUCCUGUCCCCUUCCUAAACCUGUGCUGGAGGAGCAUCAGCUGCAUUGCAAGCUCUUCUCCCAUGGGCAUCACCCCAAAGACCCCAUCUAACCCCUAACACCUGAAGAGCAUCUUCAGGCUCAGAGGCAGAUCCAGGUUGGGGCUGACCAAGGUGUGCUUUCAGCCCACCAAAAGGAUGCGGUUUUAAGGGGUUGCCUUGGUCUCUUUCCUUUAGAAACCUCAUCUCCCACCUCAGCCCCAUGGAACAGCUUCCAUCUGAGGAGCCCCUGGGAUGCUACGGAACCCUGCAAAGCAUCUUCAGGCUCAGAUCGGACCCGAGCGAUGGGGACGUAUCCUACCUAACCCCCAAAUCACUGCUCAGGAAAGACGGAUGCAAGGGUGGAGGAAGAUGAGGAUGGAGGCGGGCAGAAGGGCUGGGACACGGUGGGAAUUCAGAUCUUCCCUCUGGUUGCUCCUCAGGGAAUCAAGGUUGCUUUUUUGCUUGCAAUGUGCAUGUUUAAGGUCUGAAUCCUUCGCUCUGUCAAGACGAGGGCUAUAAACCCCCAACCAGCUGCAAAAGCCACGUUAUUGAAGCCACUUUGGGAACUCGUGACCUUUCCAUGAAA